CGGGACACGUGGUAUCCUGUCUGAAUAUGGGGGGACCAUCCUCCAAGGCUAAAUACUCCUGACUGACCGAUAGUGAACCAGUACCGUGAGGGAAAGGCGAAAAGAACCCCGGCGAGGGGAGUGAAAAAGAACCUGAAACCGUGUACGUACAAGCAGUGGGAGCACAGAGCAAUCUGUGUGACUGCGUACCUUUUGUAUAAUGGGUCAGCGACUUAUAUUCUGUAGCAAGGUUAACCGAAUAGGGGAGCCGAAGGGAAACCGAGUCUUAACUGGGCGUUAAGUUGCAGGGUAUAGACCCGAAACCCGGUGAUCUAGCCAUGGGCAGGUUGAAGGUUGGGUAACACUAACUGGAGGACCGAACCGACUAAUGUUGAAAAAUUAGCGGAUGACUUGUGGCUGGGGGUGAAAGGCCAAUCAAACCGGGAGAUAGCUGGUUCUCCCCGAAAGCUAUUUAGGUAGCGCCUCGUGAAUUCAUCUCCGGGGGUAGAGCACUGUUUCGGCAAGGGGGUCAUCCCGACUUACCAACCCGAUGCAAACUGCGAAUACCGGAGAAUGUUAUCACGGGAGACACACGGCGGGUGCUAACGUCCGUCGUGAAGAGGGAAACAACCCAGACCGCCAGCUAAGGUCCCAAAGUCAUGGUUAAGUGGGAAACGAUGUGGGAAGGCCCAGACAGCCAGGAUGUUGGCUUAGAAGCAGCCAUCAUUUAAAGAAAGCGUAAUAGCUCACUGGUCGAGUCGGCCUGCGCGGAAGAUGUAACGGGGCUAAACCAUGCACCGAAGCUGCGGCAGCGACGCUGAUGCGUUGUUGGGUAGGGGAGCGUUCUGUAAGCCUGUGAAGGUGUGCUGUGAGGCAUGCUGGAGGUAUCAGAAGUGCGAAUGCUGACAUAAGUAACGAUAAAGCGGGUGAAAAGCCCGCUCGCCGGAAGACCAAGGGUUCCUGUCCAACGUUAAUCGGGGCAGGGUGAGUCGACCCCUAAGGCGAGGCCGAAAGGCGUAGUCGAUGGGAAACAGGUUAAUAUUCCUGUACUUGGUGUUACUGCGAAGGGGGGACGGAGAAGGCUAUGUUGGCCGGGCGACGGUUGUCCCGGUUUAAGCGUGUAGGCUGGUUUUCCAGGCAAAUCCGGAAAAUCAAGGCUGAGGCGUGAUGACGAGGCACUACGGUGCUGAAGCAACAAAUGCCCUGCUUCCAGGAAAAGCCUCUAAGCAUCAGGUAACAUCAAAUCGUACCCCAAACCGACACAGGUGGUCAGGUAGAGAAUACCAAGGCGCUUGAGAGAACUCGGGUGAAGGAACUAGGCAAAAUGGUGCCGUAACUUCGGGAGAA
rnacentral:rRNA from 1 species